GGGGAUGUGGCUCAGGCGGUAGCGCGCUCGCCUAGCAUGCGUGCGGCCCGGGUUCGAUCCUCAGCAGCACCA
rfam:Ictidomys tridecemlineatus contig050061, whole genome shotgun sequence.